rnacentral:lncRNA from 1 species
CGUGGCUGAGGAGCGCCAGCAUCCAGGCCGGGUGAGAGCCCGCGCCCCUCUGACAUGCUCGUGACAACGAAACUCAACUUGGUUCUCGUUCAUGGGAUGGUUGCAGAGCACCGGGAACGUGCCAGGCCCUGCCCGAGAUGUGAGAAGGAGACUAAGACUCAGGCCCCUGCCUUAAGGAACCCCUGGUUCAAGGAGGCGACAGGAACAGACCCCACGUGACCUCACAUCCCCGCUGGCUUUGCAGUUCAAGCACUUUGAGCAGUUUCUCCAGUCACAUCGUCCCUCAGCGCCAUUGGAACCUGGAGCCUGAUGCUCACUUGCUGACCGAGGUUUCCACUGAGCAGCAGGACCGAGGACCAGGUCUGGCUGGGAGUCAUCACAGCCAGGAAUUGAAGACAGGAGACGGGCUGAGGAGAGGCCCGACCACCGAGAGCAUCGUUCAGAGAAAGGGGCGGGCUGAGGUCAGGGGACCCCCACAGCCUCUCCCUGGCAGCUGGGGGCAGAGGCAGAGCUCACGGCUCUACUCCCUGGGUGAGGAAAGCCCGAGGGACCUGGAGUCACCCACCAGCCAGCCUCCAGCCAUCUGUCUCCUGGGGAACAGGAGCCUGCGGCAGCAGCUGCCUUGGCUCGUUGUCCACCAGAUCCAUUCUAGCUCCCUCUCGAGCUGUAGAAUUGAAGGUGGGCGCCUAGCGGCUCAGCCAGACUAUACUUCCCGGCCUUCUUUGCGGUUAAGUCACGUUCUCGCCAGCGGGAUGGCAGCAGAAGUGAAGUGUGGUCCAUCUGACACGGAGCCUUUCAGACCACGCCUCACCUCCUCCUUGACCUCUUUUCCCUCCCCGCUGUCUACACCCAGCACAGGGCUGAAACCCAGCUUCGUCCAGGAAGGUGUUUACAACGCCCCAGGACUGGUGGAGAAACAUGACAGAGGGGAUCGGUCUGAGUCUCCAAGCGACCAAGUGAGGAGAUCCAUGCACCCAAAGCGACUACAAAACAGACACGGAAAUUUCUUUGUCCUUUAUGGUACGGGAUGUUGGGGGGAGAUGGAUGGCAGAGAGUCUCUUUGUUACAGCAGCUUAGCUUCCCCCAGCUACCACAAAGACCCGCCAAUAGAUACGACAGAAGAGAAUAAGAUGCCAGGAGGUCGCUUUUGAAUCCAGGACCACUGGUUUCCCUUCUAGAAACAGUUAACAUCUCCUGUUGUCAGUUCACAUUCAGUACUUUUCACCGAACCUCCACCAUACGUCCCGCAUGAGAGAAGGGCUAGGGAUACAAAGAAAUGGAAAACAACAGAAAUCUUCAGACUCCGUGACCCAUCGCAGUGGGCCCUCCGUGAGGGCCUCGUCCCGUCUCACCUGUCACCUGCGUUCCAGCUUCACUGGGUCCACACCCUUUGCCCAAAUGGGACAUGAACUUUAACGUCUCUGCCUUUGCCUGUGCUGUGCCCUCUGCCUGGUGUCCCCGUCCCUCCUUCCCCAGGGGAAGGGCCCCUCAUCCUUCUGGAUGUCCUCCUGGGUAUCGUUAGCUUGUCUUGGUGGGGUCAUAUUACCAGGAAGGUGCACAUCCCUCUGGUUUCUAUUUGGGCUCUUCAGUGGGUCCCGUUCCACUUUGAAUGUCCAAUACUGGACACAAGGCCGGCAAGGAGCAAGCGCUCAGAAGCUUCCAUCCAUUCGACAGGCACUGAUGAGGCCCCCAAGGAUGGGAGCCAGCGCAGAGAAUAAGACACACCGUUGUCCUCAGGUGGCUUCUGUUCUAGUGGGGAAAACAGACACUAAACAAAUGUUCACUCUAGCAAAUAUAAAUUACACAAAGUGAUGAACAAUGUAAGAAAAUGAGCCAGGCCUGGUGCCAGAGCACCUUGGAUGGAUGACUGCUUCCCGAUGGGAGGUCAGGGCAGGCCUCCCUGAGGGAGUGCCGUAAGCUGGGACUUCAAGGGAGUGGACGUUAGGGAGGUGAAGGGGGGUUGUCUGGGGUGGGGAUGGUGCUUGAGGAAGAAGGCCCCGUGUGUGCAAAUGCCCAGAGACAGGGAAGAUCUCGGAGUGUGCUUAUAGGAUAAUGAGCGAGGAGAAUGGCAGGAGAUGGGGCCCGGCUGUGUGAGGAUUUGGGGUUGUAUCUCCUGGGCACCCGGCAGCUAUGGAAGGGCUUUGUGUAGAGGAGUGACCUAUGUGGUUUCCAUCAGCAAGAGAGGAGUCUACUGCAACGGUCCAAGCCCAACCCGGUGGAGCCUCGGACUCAGGAGGUGGCAGUGAGGGAGGAGACAGGUGGGCAGGGAUGUGUUAGAAGUCAGACUGAGGUACGGGAUGCGGGAGCUCAGGGAGAUGGAGUCAGAGUGGACUCCUGAAGGUUUCUGGGAGAGGGGAAGGAAGGGUACAAGAGAAGAACGAGGAAGGAGGAGGGCCGUGUCUUCAAGAAACGUACCCAGAAAUCAG